UUUUUUUUUUUUUAGCAACCCAUAGUAAAAAGAGCAAUGCAAAAAACAAAUCCACUGAUUUUGAAGCACCUGCAGUGAGAAAUGCAACUUGCUAUGUGAGCUAGUCAGGUUCCUGGAUACCAUUGUACAGCCCUUUGGCACAACUUGCUGUGGAGCUCUGUGGUCAGAACUGCUUGUCUGCCCUUCCAUGACGCCACACUCACACCCGGAGGUUGCUCCACAUCUCCCAGUCCUUCAAGCUGUUCGGUUUUUUGUUUGUUUGUUUGUUUUUAAUUGUUCCCAGAAGCAAACACAUGGUCUAAACAAUCCCUGGAUUGUAAAAUAAACAACACUACAAAGGAAGACACCACCAAAUGAGGCUCUACAGUCACCAUGCCCAGCAGCAACCGAAAAAGGUUUGGUUUCUUGUCUGGGAACAGCACUCACCCCACCCCCCAAAGGAACUGCUUGGUCCAAAAGAUGGAGAAGAUAAGCAACAGAGUGACACUGAGGAUGACGGUCAUCAGGUAGGCAAAGAUGCGGAACUGAGGAUUGCGGAAACACUCCCUCGGAGAGUAGUGGCUGGGGAUGGGGAUGGGCGUAGGCACGGUGGCAGAAGCCGUGUCUGGGGGCGGCCCAGUCUGGCCCCCAGGCUGGGGGCCGAGGUCCAGCGUGUAAACUCGAGGCUGGCGCAGGAAGUAGCGGCUCUUGGGCUGGUCUUUGAGGCACAGCUGACGGCCUUCCAGGAUGAUGUGGUGCGGCUCCAGGCGGAGCAGGGUGAGCAUGGCAGUGUCCGUGGGCAAGUCAGUGACGGGCUGCCCCAAGGCCAGCACCGUGGGCUGGCGACAGAGCGGGCACAGCAGGCGGCGCUGGGCUGGAGUCACCAGGCUGAGGUGGGCCAGGCAUUCCACGCAGAAGGAGUGGCAGCAAUCCAGCAUUUUGGGGGUAUGGAACGUGUUGUUGAAGGGAUUCCAGCAGAUGGGACACUCGGCCUCAAGCUCCCGGCCCUCCUGCUCAGCCAUCCUCAGCCACACACAGGGAGGCCUCGCGGGAGACGUCCUGGCAGAAUGGGGAAAGAAGCAAAGGAACAGCCAUGAAGCCCCAUCCCUGUGCUUGGCCUGGGGCAAAGUGUUCUGUGGGUGUUGAAAGGUGUCAUCACCAUGUUUUACUCAGGUUCAAAAGCGUUUUGUUCUUGAUCACCAGUUCCUAAGCCAUCGAGUGGAGUCGAAUGCCCCUGCAGCCUCCCCUCUGUCAAGGUGAAGGCCUGGGCCACCCCUACCAAGAGCCCCCAAGUGAGCCGGCAUUGGAGGAGACAGUGCCCCGGGCUUUGGAGCUGGACGCAAAUGCUCCUUACGGUCGGUGUCUGUGGCCGUGGCUGCCCUGAACCCAGGGAGCUAGGGGUAAGCUGCAGUCUGUGGAUUUUGCUAGAGGACAAAUGUUUCCUUCCCUGCUACCUCAAAUCCCUGACUAGCGCAGAGAUGGGUUUUGUGAAUUCCCUGGUCUAUCCCUCCUAUGGGGACAAAUGCCAGCCCUCUUUCCCUCCUCCCCUUGAGCUAGAGGGCCAACCCUCCAGAUCCUACUCACCCAGUCCUUGGCCUGGCAAGGGGACCCCUGGAAAGGCUUUUCUCCCUAUCUGGAAGGCUUGUAGAAGCUCCCCUGCCCCAUUUCCCAGAUCAGCCCUCCCAGAGCCUCUUCCCCUUCCAAAGCCUCUUCCCGGUCCUCUGCCUACCCUGGCUCCUCCUCCCUCCCUUUGUCCUGGGAAACCUUCAGGGCACGCACCUGGGCUUCUGUGGGUUCCAGGGUGGUCAGGCAGACUACACUGGAGGGCCUGAGGCUCCAGUCGCUCCCUCCCCUGAAUUGGCAAAGCUUUGGGAGACUGCCUUCUUGCCACCAACCCAGGGGCCUGUCUCCAUGGCAGCAGGCACGCAGCACCUGGGGCUGCCAGGUGGCCCAGUCUGCAGCCUCUUGAGCACACCUGCUUGGAGCCAAGGCCAGAGAGCUUCCUAGGGGGUGGGGUGGGGAGGGAGAUGGAGGACCUGAGUUCCCCCCAGGGCG
ensembl:lncRNA